UGGAAGUAAAAGUCGUAACAAGGUCUCCGUUGGUGAACCAGCGGAGGGAUCAUUACCGAGUUUACAACUCCCAAACCCAAUGUGAACGUUACCAAACUGUUGCCUCGGCGGGGUCACGCCCCGGGUGCGUAAAAGCCCCGGAACCAGGCGCCCGCCGGAGGAACCAACCAAACUCUUUCUGUAGUCCCCUCGCGGACGUAUUUCUUACAGCUCUGAGCAAAAAUUCAAAAUGAAUCAAAACUUUCAACAACGGAUCUCUUGGUUCUGGCAUCGAUGAAGAACGCAGCGAAAUGCGAUAAGUAAUGUGAAUUGCAGAAUUCAGUGAAUCAUCGAAUCUUUGAACGCACAUUGCGCCCGCCAGUAUUCUGGCGGGCAUGCCUGUCCGAGCGUCAUUUCAACCCUCGAACCCCUCCGGGGGGUCGGCGUUGGGGAUCGGGACCCCUCACCGGGUGCCGGCCCUGAAAUACAGUGGCGGUCUCGCCGCAGCCUCUCCUGCGCAGUAGUUUGCACAACUCGCACCGGGAGCGCGGCGCGUCCACGUCCGUAAAACACCCAACUUCUGAAAUGUUGACCUCGGAUCAGGUAGGAAUACCCGCUGAACUUAAGCAUAUCAAUAAGCGGAGGA
rnacentral:rRNA from 1 species